AAGUCGUAACAAGGUCUCCGUAGGUGAACCUGCGGAGGGAUCAUUAUCAGAGCUCUGCUCAUCCCAUUCUUGUGAAAAUUGUGGUUUUAUAUUAAAACUUUCAACAACGGAUCUCUUGGCUCCG
rnacentral:misc_RNA from 1 species